rnacentral:sRNA from 1 species
CCGGAACCUGACCUGAGCUGGGGCCUGUGCUUCCAGCGGGUGGUGGGGGGCCUGGUGUGCUGGCAUCAAGUAAGCGGACUACCUCGGCAAAGGCUUAGGGACAAGAGACUGGCAGCCUGAACUGGCUGGGGCAUCCGGAAGGCUUAGAUCUUGUGGCCAAGGGUUCAGACCGUGGCGAAGUGGAGAGUGACAUGCAGUUGGAUGGCGGUGACUGCGUGGUAUGGAAGAAAAUUCAGCUGAAAUUUGCUAGAAAAUGAGUUGUAUUGGAAAGAGACUGUAGAGACAGGCAAAUGGAAGAAGAAAGCUUCUGUGCCCCCACAGAUACCGACUGAAAAGUGUUAGCAUGAGCAAAAGUUCCUAUCUAAUAUUAUAUGCUUUCCUUUGCUCCCACCAUUCCACAACCACGGGCUACUUCAAGUGCAUAUCUGGGGUCAGUAUAAAUGUUAACCAAUUGACAAGCAUGAGUUGGGGCAGUCAAUUCUGCCUGCUGAGCUGAUUUAAUAAUCUGGAAGAGGAUUAUUCUCCCCCAUCUGGAAGAUGAUUAUUCUCUAUAAUCCCAGUUAGAGACACAAUGGCAUAAACAUUCCUGU